ensembl:lncRNA
GUUUAAUUAGAACCAGUCACUUUCCUGCAGCUACCUGCUUGUAGGCAUGCCUGAGUUUAUACUUAAUUGUGGUGCUUUUGCACAGUUUCUCUUUUUUUCCUCAGGAACUGCUGCACAGAACUUCUUUCACAUGUGCAGACUAAUGAUGACAGCCUGCAUGUGCAUGAAUAGCAUGCUCUGGUAACAAAUCAGGAACAUGGAGAGGGAUUUUAAACUGCUUUGGGGGUGGUAACAUAGCUGUUUUCAGUUUAAGAUCUGUUUUCCUCUUCUUCCGCAGCCAUCACUUCAUUUCAUGAGAGGAGGUGCCAUGGAAAGCUCUCGACUCACUGUACAAAGAGAAUUAUCCCCUCUGAGCUCCCUUUUUAAUUCUUUCAAAGUAGACAAAGCAGAAAAGACCUGACAGAAGCGGUUGCUGAGGCUUCUUUACAAUGUCUUUUGCUCCCAGAUUCAGACAAGGUCCAAACAGGAUGGACUUCCUCUAAGCCCUUCCCACUGCAGGGAAGCACGUAUGCUGCAGGCUUGGAAAUGAGAGCAAGCAAUAAAACAAACAAAGCCCAGGUCUGCUGCAAGGUGAUGCCAUUUUGUGGGACUGCUACAUAACCCGGCAGUGAAGUCUCCAGGGGUGCAAUUGUGUGCUGAUGGGGACUCUUCCAGAGGGUGAUUCAGAGCAGAAAUCAGUGGACAUGAUGGAGGAAAUCUGGACAGUUGGAUGCCCUGUGUUGGAUGCUUUGUCAUUAGUCUAAAGACAGGUUCUCUUUCAGGCUCCAUUUUAUCUCAAUAUGCAGUGGAAAAUUAUACAUCUCACAGUUCAUUUUCUUGCAGCUUUCUGCCACCUGUCACCUGUGAAAUGGUUAGACGGUUAAACGUGGGCUCUUCGGAGCAGUUUGAUGCAUAAUGUAAGGAGAAAGUGAUAGGUAGCAUCGAUGCACAAGCAUAUAACAUCAUCGAGGGGUUUUGAUGAUGUCAUAAACCGUAAAGGCAGAGUUUGGCUAUGAUAUCAUCACCAGGCCAAUGUGGUUCUUUGGGGUUUUUAGAAGAAGAAAUUUAUUAGAUGAAUAGGUGGAUCUGAUGUUUUAAGGGCAUUUUUUACACCCAGUCCCUCCUCUUGUUUCUGAUAGAUGAUGCUGCCGUUGCAUCUACGAGUUAGAAAAUGAUAGCUGUUCUUAUCAGCAAUGGAUGUGUUCUUUGGAACACAUGUUAUAUGUGGAAUGGAAAGUUGCUAAAGUAUUGUGAGAUUGGCUAAGAAGAGAGAAAAGCACCAGAGGAGGGAUCUCUGAGAAUUGCAGAACAUGUUCAUGCUGAUCUGUUAAUUAGCAUUAAACAACAGUGUAGGAAUGCAGACAGGUAGACAAGGUAGCAAAACUGCAUGAGAUGGAAUAAACAACUCAAAGAGAUCUAAACCCUCUGAUUUCUGCUCUCUGUGACAGGAACAACUCCUUCCUACAACACUGAGAGAAAAUCUGAUAAUCACAGAUAUUCAGCUCUGAAUAUUUUAUCCCUGUCAUUGAAGUCUCUGUUAUUGCCCACUCUGGGAAGAAAGAUACUCAUCUAGAGAAAAAAGAUCCCUAGAAAAUCAUGUUAAAGUGAUGUUAUCACUGGUAUUAGCUAAAAGUGUCAACUCUUGUUCCUCCCUCCAUCCAUAGACUUCAUUCUUUCAGCCACGGUUACCUUUCUGCGGACUGGAGGAAGUCCAGCCCCACAGCAGGACUUCUCAGAGCUCAGAGGUGUCUCAAUGAGAUGAGUGAUGUCUGCCCAUGUACCCCACAAGCAUCUCUACCAGAUAGUUUUUUUGUUUUGUUUUGUUUUUCCUAAACUCUCACUCUCAUCUGUUUUCAAGAUUUGUUUACCCUUUAUUUUUCUUUGUUAUCCCUCCCUUUUAGAGGCCUUUAGCUUAAAAACAGUGUGAAAACCAAACUAAUGCAAGUAUUCUAAUUUUUGUGACUACCAGAAUCAAGCAAACUGGAAAAUGUGCUGUCUUGAGGGUAAAAGAGAGGUGCAAAAACUCUUUAACAGAGACAACUGGUUAAUUAGCAGAUGUGAAACCAACGUAAAAAAACCAGAACCUAGAAAACAAAUGAAAAUCUCUAUAGCAAUUAUUUCCAGAAAGGUAACAUUUUCCCAAUUAAAGCCAUUCUGAGAACUUUAGCUAAUUAUGUAGGUAUUCUCUCUCUCCUUCCCUUUCUUUCUCUCUCUCUCUUUUAUUAAAGUCCAUCAGGGCUCAUGAUGUGUGGGAAAAGUGCUAACAUUUGCAAAUUGCUGGUUUAUGAUAAAUGAAUUGUGGAAACUCAGCCCCUUGGUUGGGGCCCAGCUAGAUUGCAAAGCACCAGCAUCUCCGGCUGCUGCAGCCCUGACCCUGCCUUUACACCCAUUGAUCACAACUGGUGCAUAGCCAUGACCACCAAAUGCAUACAUUGUAGCUGGGGGACUUGCUUUUCCCAUAGUAUUUCAUCAUCGUUCCACAUCGCAAGCACCAUAGUAACCUUUGGCAUGCCGUCCUGUAAGACUAAUACCUGCAGGAGAUUUCCUCCUGCCCCAAUAAUCACUGCUUCAACUGCUCCAUCUUUAAAAAACCCUUAGUCAUUAACCCAGCUUUGAUUUUCAAAAAAUUCCCGUUUAUUUCAAUAGCGCCAGGAGGGGAAGUAAGGGGUGAGCACGUUGGAAAAGCAAAAUCCCUAAAGAGAGAAAAGUACACUGAAGGAUACCAUGGAGUGACACGUAGGGUGUGCUCUCGCCAUUGCUCUUCAUGAUUGCUGAAUGCUCGGAGUGCAGGAGCAUGUACAAGGCCAACAACCCAAAGUAAAACCAUAGUCAAGACUGCACAAGUAUAUAAGGGCCAGGCUCUGCCCCACGUGGGAGAAAAAUCACACAGGUGAGACAUGCAAAGUUAGCCUGGGAAGGAGGACACAGCACCACGCAGCGCUGCAGGGUGAGCUUUGCAUUGGCUUUGGGGACUAUUUAUGGUUUCAGGGAAGACAUAACCGAGAGGAACGCAGCUCUUAGCAGCUGCACGUCAGCUGAGAUUCCUGCACAGGGAAAUUGUUUCCAUUCACACUUUGGAGUCUGUGGCCAGGUCCUGAUCCUGGUUUAAUGAAAACAAUGCCUGAAAGUCAAACGCAUUUUUCUGACAGGCACAUGGAGGUGCUAUUUUAUCUACAGGGUCUGACAGAUGAUGCUGAGCAUAUGUAAAAAAGUGCACGUGUGUGCUUGUACACACGCACACAUUUGAAGCCCUCAAAUUAGCAUUGGAUGUGAAAUCCACCAUCCAUGAAAGAGUCAGGGUAAGAGAUUCUAGUGUCCCAAAGAGGCACAGAAUAAUGAAGUUAUGGAGAGCUGGGAAAUGUUGGUAUUACUUUAUUAGAGUGUAUUGAAGAAAACUGGUGAGCUAGUGCUCUAAAGGUUGUAUUCAAUAAAAAAUGAUUCCUCUGGUUUCCAUGCAAAGCCACUGAAGUACCAAAAAAUCAAUUGUAGUCAUUGAAUUGGGCCAUAAGAUGGAGCAAAAUGGCCCUGGGAUGGAGCAAAAUUCACAACAGUGCCAGAAGAUGUACAGUCUGUGGCCAGGGAACGCUUCCCCAUUUCACUUCUGGUUUUGACCCACAUGAGCGCAGGACUGAUGCAGCAACCCUCCGCUGCCCCCAGCAUUGCCCACUGGCCCCCCAGCCACAUGGGAAAAGCCUUCUGCUUUCUUCUCUGUGCUAGAAUUCUCUCAAAAUGGACGAAUUUGGUGCAAAACCUGCAAUGUGCAUGCAAUGGGCUACUUUUAGUUCAGUUCGGGGAGGUCAUUUACCAAUGAAAUGGAGAAAUGGAGGUGGGGAGCCGGACGCAUCUGCAGAGACUGUGCCUGAACACGUUGCAUGUGAAUAACGUGAGCUGGGUUGAAAUUGGUUUUGAAAUCAGAGUUGAUCAGAAAAGUGAAAAGUAUCUGAGGAGAGAAAUGUUGGAAAAUUCCUGCCAGAAUUGGUUGGCAUUUUCCAGGAGCUCUGUUGUGAAUUCAGUGUCUGUGUCGGUUCUCUCUUGUCUUUAUUGGUGCUCUGAAGCACAGGGUCUGAAGCAAAAGUUAUUGAAUUUUCACUAAACCCUCCCUACAAGCAAAGGCUUUUUCUGCUUUAAUGUUCAAAAAAGUCCAAGUCGCAGCCACCACCUCUAGCAUGUGCCCAUAUCUUUUCUCAUUAUAGGCUGAGGUCCAAAACCAAUACGAAUUAAAUAAAUAUCCCACUGAGAGCUGCACUUUUGAAAACUGCCUUAUUGCAGUGCAGAUGUGCGCUAUCUAAAAUGAGCUUAAACGUUUUAUUUAUAUAUAUAUAUAUAUAUAUUUAAAUUAAGAAAAUAAAAUAAAACCUAAAUAUUAUCCUGGAAGGAAGUGUUUGCAUUGGUGGAUGUUUGAUUUUCAUUUUUCUCCCAGCAUGCUCGAUCCUUUCAUCCUGUAAUGGUUCUUCUCUAUUAAUCCUUCUCAAAACCCACAGGUAGAGAUGCUUAUUGAUAGAAGGCCAACGUGUAUCUCAGUUUACAAAGGCAUAUUAAAGGAUACAAGUAACAUAUUUCUCUUGAUGUCUUCUUAUUAAUGCAAUUCCACUCAGAACAUUUUGGCAUAAGAGGCAUUGCCAGAUGGAAGAUAAAACUUCACUUUUAUGAGUAUUUUAAGGAAGAAAACAUUUGGUUUGCAUCAGUUCUAAAUGAAUAAUAUUUAUUGCCCUAAUGAUUUGUAUUUUAUAACCCGAAUAACAAAAAGCACUGUCAAUUACUUAGUAUUUUAACAAGGAUUAAAAAAAGGUCUGAUAACAUCAAGUCAGUUUAAAUGAUCAAGUGCUUUUAAUGCUAAACUCUAAUAACCCAAAGCAUGGGCUGUUUACAUAAUAAAAAUAAAUAAACACUGACCACAGCUUGGCUGUAUUUAAGGAUUCUGUCAUUUGUUACCACAAGUCGCAGCUCACAGCAUGCUUUGGGGAGCUCAGUGUGUUACAAUUACAAACACAUCAAACGGGCUCAUUGGGGCCCUGCACACAUCAUGGUGUGCAGAGAUGGGGAGUUGUGGGGCUGCUCCUGGGUGAGUGUGGGGAGCAGAGGGCUGCGUUCUCUACCUCUGAUUUUCCCUGGACAUCAGCAGGUCUUCUGUGCUUACAAAAGAUAAUCUUCCUCUGAUCUUUACCCAUCAAUAGUUUGAUUAUAUUUAUCUCUCUCCUUUACUGUAGAUAAUAAAAUUCCAUGUUUUUCUUCUUAAUUUGCAUGUGUAACUCCUGCUGCUGAAUAUUUUUUAUUUGAUGCCAUUACAGGAAUUAAAUUCCAAAUCAAAUCAGCACAUGGAAGGACCACUCUCAUUUCACUGAGCUCAUUCCAGCAGAAGGGGGAUGAGGAGGCUCUAACGCUUGCAAUAUCGUCCAUGUAAGCACUAAAAAUCAUACUGCUGCACCUCAGAUAAGAUUUCAGAGGUGUAGCUGGUUCUGCUGGGAGCUGUCUCUGUCUGUCCAAGUACAUGGGCACUUGGUUUCUCUUUUAGAUGACCUUUUUUAUCCCGUUCCCUUCUGAUCAAGCACCAAGGGCUAUGUGAUGUUUCCCAUUUUGGAGGCUGGAGGGAAAGCAAAAGGAGCCCUUGAACACUGACUGUGUUAAGGUUCUGUUGAAAUAACAUCAGAUUUACUCUGACAUGUUCCAUGGGACUUAAUAUUGAUUUUCAAAUAAUCUGGAACGCUGUUUUUAUAAACAAUUAUUGGCAAGGGGAGGCGUUGUUUUUGGAAGCUCUUGUAUGUACAGUAAGGCUUUAUUUCUUCUUGUUUUGAAGUGCGGCACGUCUUUUAAAAACGCUGUUCAGGAAACAUCUGCUGUCAAUUAAGGAGUAACACAUUAAGGCAUAUUAAAGUGCACUCUUAUUAGUGUUUCGGCAAUAAAAAGAAAGGUUUUCUAUUUGAAUCAUAUGUUCUUUAACACAUCUGCCAGCCAUCUGAAACUUGCAAACGUUUCUCAAUAAAAACAUCUUCAUAACCUUGUAAAAACUUAGUAAUGCAUGGCACUCUGUUUUCUGUAUAUAUAUAUGCCUGUAUAUCCCUUUAUACACUGAGUUCAGGUAAUUCUCAAACAGGUUAUUGGGCUGAUGCUGAUAGUUUUUGAUAAGGACAGUGACUGCGGGCACUCUGCUCAGUCAGUCCCAUUGAACCCUUAAAGGAGAGCUGAUUAGAAAAGCAAAGCUUUGCCUUUUCGUUUUUAUGAGAACAGAAGAAUCAGUCUUUUCAGCAAAAAAAAUAAUAUUACAAAGCAUUUGAGUUGGAAAAAAAAAAGUAUUUGAUUUGAAAAGGGUCUGUUGUGUGUUAGAAAACUGUAGUUUUCUACGGCUUAAACUCUCCACUCUGUUGAGAGCACCUUUCCCAAGGCACACUGUGGUGUCUUGUUGUUUAGCCAAGCUGGUGCAUCCUGCAAAACCCUGAUCAGAUUAAUAACAAAUAGAUAGCUCACAGGGGAUCAUCCUUACUUUAACUGCAUGGAUUUCUGAGUAUAAAAUAUCCAAGCUUCAGAAAGACUCAUGAGACUUGGAAACUGAAGCCAAUCAUUCAAAAUGAUGGGAAAUCAUAACAGAUUGAAAUAGAAACUGUUAUUUUUACCAGUGGGACCAUGGAAAUGACUCGUUUAUCCAUGAACUCAGGUAGACGUGCUACUAGAUGUUGGUGUUUGCAGUGAGUUGAUGUGCUCUUGUCUGUUUCCCAGCAAAAGAAGGGCACUAGACAGAUUUGGCUGCAGCACAGCCUGAGGAAAAGUCUGUGUAGAGGCAGAUAACUGCCUUCCUUUGCUGCUGGAGUUACUGUGGCUGACACCUUCAGCCACAGGGUGUACAGGGUCUGACAAAUCAGGCGCUCAAAGAGCACCAUUGGAAGAGACCCCCCUGUUCCAUCAAAUGUACUUUAUGCCUGAUUAUUUUUAAAAAUUCCUUGAGAAAAAGUCAAGCUGACCUUAAAGUGGGUGAGAGAGAAUGAAAACCUGCCUGGGAAAAGAAUCAAACAUUUUGAUUUCUUUCCUUCCAUUGCUGAGUGUUGUGAUCUCGAAGGUGGGGAACCACUGACGUAACACAAGCACAGCUACUUGGUUCAUUUUCUUACUGAUACCUUGGAAGGAUUGUUACUGCAUGGGUCAAAGCCCCAGCCAGUAAGCAAAGGAGAUUUCUUAUGUCUGCAUCUUAAGGAGUUGGUAGCUGUUGUUACUGGCUGGUGCACCAUCUAAUGUUCGGUGAUGGAUGCAUCUGCUUGGCUAAACAAUAGAAAUCUGCCUAAUUAGAUGCUGUUUGAGACUGACCUACUUCUGUGACUCUGGCAUGCAGAUCUUCUCACUGAAGGAUGAUACUUUUCUUCCCUAGAAAAUCACAAAUCAAAGCUUGAACAUGCUGGUUUCUAACAGCAAAGGGAUUGUUUAUAUUUUCCAGAGCUGCAGGGGGAAGUUUGCCGGAGGUUUGAACUACAGAGGGGAAAAAGGAAAUGUAACUUUCAUGCAAAGCUCACAAACUAAAUGCCAUUUGCCCACUGGGCUUGCUCUUCAUGGGGAGCUGCAAAUUGCCCAUUCAGCUGCCAAGCAGAAAAAAAAAUGUAAAGACAAAUGCAUAAAACUACUGUGCUUCUGAGAGGCUGGGAACUAUGUGCUUGUUCAAGCAUGGAAAGAGCGUGCAGCUGCCUUAUGGCAGGGGACUCAGAGGUGGAACGUCUUCAAAGCCCCCUGGUUCUUCUUCUGGUCCCAGUGAACUUUGGAUUCCUCAUCCUGUCCCUUGCUAGAUUUCUUUCAGAAGUGAAAGGGAAGAGCAGUCAGACCUGAAACCAGAGAUGAUGGAUUCAGUGGGGUUGGCGAGGGAUCAGACUGGGAAUGGAUAUCGCUCUGUCUUGAUGCAAUUACUACCAGUGUGAUUCUGACAAGACUUUCUCACUCAAAAGUAGAUAAGCUGUUUUCCCAAGGACCAUUCCCCUCAGCUGACCUACACUUUCCCCAGGUGCUGUUUGAAAGCUAUUUUUCUUAAAAGUUUCUAUAUUAUCAGUUAAGCUAUAACAGCAAUAAUUACCUAUAUUACCAAGUUCAAAACACGCCAUAUUCAAAACAGUCUGGUAAAAACUAGCAUAAAUAAAUGCAGGGUGCUUCUCCCCUUAGGACCGCAGGGUCAAGCUCAAAUAAACUUCCAGUGAGAGGAAUUUAAGGUAGGAGCCCACUUUGAAAAAAUCAUUAAGUGGAUCAGGAAAUGUGAAGUGUAGAUAAUGGACAACCUAACAAGGGAUAUACUCCAGCACUGCAAGAUGUGCUUGAAUAUGGCCUUAUAACCAGAGCUGCUGUUGUACCUCAGGAGGUGCCUAAGGACGUGUAGAAUCCGCAGGUACUGCAGGCCAAAAAGGAAAGUCUGGAGUCCUUUGAGAGGUGGGUAUUGUUCUUAGGAAGGUCUGAUGGUGCCCAUCCUUCCUAAUAGGAUCAAAGUGAACUUCAUUCCCUUGUGGAAGCAUAGAGAAGAACCUCUCAAUAUCAAGCUCUCACUCUGAAAGCCAGUACUUCAACCCUUGAAAUCCCUACCUGUAAAGGUUUGCCAGGAGUAGGCACUCACUGCUGCUUUUCAGCUCUCCUUCAGCUGCCCUGCUGAAGUGAUGAAUACUGCUUAAUUACAAAAACAGAAUUUCUGUCAUUUCUCCCAGCAUGGCUUGUAUUGGGGAAGAUUAAACAUCAGCCAAACAUUACGGAAUUACCUUUUUAAACCUAUUAUUUCAACGUGAUUAACUUCGCUUCUUUUCAUUUAGCUGUAAGCAAAAUCUUGUUUACAAGGCAAAAAAAAAAAAAAAAAAAAAAAGCACUUGCUAUAAUAUCGGCAAUAAUAAUAAAAAUGAACAUCACAGGGAAAUAAUUUAUGUGUAAACCAGCAUAAAAAUGUCAUUGAUGCAUGGGUUUCCUCUUCAAUUAAUAAAAAGGAGGAAAUAUUUAAAAACAAUUUAUCAAGGAAAUACAUACAGUUCAUAUAUCAUGCACUUACAAAGACUGUACUAAUAUCUAUUCCACAAAUAGCAGUGUGACCUGGACUAUCACACAGAUGCUGGAUUCCUUUGUGUGACCUAAUUUGGGGCAGGUGUCCAGGACAAGACUUUGACCUUGUACAGGAUGAAGAUCCUGGGUCAAAAUACUGAUAAAAGCAUGUUCUGUUGGAGAAGUAACAAUUGGUGCUGGUGAGGUAGCCCAAAAUAAAUAAAAUGCAGCAUCAGUGGUUCUGGAUUCAUUCUCUACUUUUGACUGAGAUUGUUGUCAUCACCAUAAAGCCUGAUAAUUUAUUUGCAAAGAAUAAAGCAUUGUCUAUUAUGUGUAUGCUUGUGCUAAGCUGAGAAGUGAUCACACUUCCAACAUAAAUAGAAUCUUGUAAUUAUCACUGUAAAACUGUGUUACUCAAAAAUUCAAGAGUUUAAAAACAUCCAAAAUAGUAAAUUGAGGUGUGAGUCCUCUGCUAACCUUGGAUCUGAGCAGUCAGUUAAGACUGAGGAGGCUUCUGAAGGUCAUUAUCUUCCCUUAAUGGUAUCAGAACAUCUUUUGGGGUAUAAAAUUUUGCAGCAUAAAUUUUAGAUAACAGAUGUACAUUUAUCUAACCCAAAUCAAUGGGAACACAAACCAUCCAAAGUGUUUCUGUGCAGUGUUUGGAAAUAAGAUGAGUGAAGAGAAACCUGUUUUAUCCUAAUCUUUUGCCUAGUCUACUUACAGUGAGAUGCUUUGGGACAAGUUACCUGGCCUAGAGGGAGGUGUCCCUGCCUAUAGCGUGGGGCUGGAACUGGAUGAUCUCAAAGGUCCCUUCCAACCCAAACCAUUCUAUGAUUCUGUGAUUCUGUAAGUAGUGUUAAUUCCCAGAAACCUGUACAAGGUCUCACACACUGGGCACUGGGGGUGCUGAGCUCCAUAGGAUGGAUCAUGUGCUCAAAAUGAAACUUGAAUGUGAAGCUUUGUAGGUUUGGGUAUUUAAGACACAUUUUUCCAAGUGUUUUUCACGACUUCUUUUUCUGUAGUUCUCAACCCCUCUGUAGGCAAUUGGAGAAGGAUGAAACUAUUAAAAAGACGCUGGUCCCAUUUUCAGUGUCUUGAUAUCCAUUUCCUAAACAAAUGGAACUGAUUGAUACAAAUUGGUAAUUCCUAAGUCUCAGUUUCUCUCCAAAGUACCCAAGGAGUGGGAGAAGAAAGCAUGGGCAUGUUCUCCAAAUGUCUCUAUACCUAACAGUACCACACAUUGAUAUUUCUGUUUCUUACAGGAUAUCUGAAGGGUGGGUCUUACCAUAACACUGGAAAACAUAUACAGCUGUGCUUGCAACUCCUAAUCAGCAAUUAAAUGAAUGGGACAAGCUAUAAACAAUGAUAGUAUCCAUUUUUUGUUUCAGAAAACAGUUUGUUUCCAACUCUUUGUCUUUGUGAGGACGCAUCUCAAUCAUAUGCCAUGUAGACUAAAAGGUCCUUUGGGCAGAUCACUUAGUUUAAAGUUGAUGGAACUUUACUGGUGUACAUAAAUUUACACAGAUUGACAAAGUGGGAAUUCUGGUCCUUUGUGUUGACCUCGAGCUGGAAAACCAGAUGUCUUCCUAUACAUAUGUGGAAUCAAACUUAGAAAUUUCAGUAUUGAAGAAAAUUGAUUAUAUAUACUGAACAGAGAUAUUGGCAUAGUCUAUUACGUGUUGUACCCUGUCCAUCAGUUUGUGGCAGUAUGAGUAAAGAUUUGCCCUUGGUUUUAUCCAUACUAAGAAGGCAGUGCGUUUCCUGCACUUGGCAGCCUAUAAUUCACCUCUUACAUCAGUUGCUGAAAUUGAUUCUGUUUUUAAUGUGACCUGUUCUGAUUAUAAAGUUAUUUUUCUAGAUUUUAUUGCAUUUGCUACCUGAAGUGCAUCUACAAUGAUUUUCAAGGGAAGGCAAAUAACAAAACAAGGUUGGACUUAAUCUUAUUCUGUGCAGGAAGCUGGUUCUAACGAAAGGUGUCAUUGUCAGCAAGCUCUACAGCUAAUGGAUUAGCAGUCAACCUUUUUCUUCUGUUUUGUCUUCCAGAUAUUGAACUUCAAGGGUGGGGAAGUAAAACAAAACUAGCCAGAGAAGAUUAAGUGUACCAGUUAAAGUUACCCCACCAACAUGUUUCUAUAGAAACUCAAGAUAUCCAACUUCCAGAUGUAAAGCCUGAAAAGGAAGCACAUUCAGAUGUUAGAGUUUGCAGAGCACAUGCUGCUGCCCCCAGAACAGAGGCUACGCUGCUCUGUAGGCCUUUGCCACGCAAAAUAAAUAAGCAAUGCUACAGUCCUUCUGGCAACUGGUUGCAAUACGACUCCUGAUCUGUGUGUCCUUCUGAAAGGCAGCAGUAUCAUUUGCUUCCUUGCCACUUUUCAUGUUUUUCAAAAUUGUCUGUGGAUAAAUGUGUGUGAAAUUAUAACUGCUAGAAAAUGAUGGUGCUUAAAAGCUUUUGUAUCCUUCCAGGUGUUCUAUUUGGUCCUAGCGUUCAACUGCAGGAAAAGCUGUUGUCUGUGGGCUGUCAGGAGCUGUACCGAGGUGUCCCCAGACUUCUGGAGAUAAAGGAGGACUUGGAAAUACCUGGCUUUUUUUCAUGGUAUUGCAACAGGGAGGAACAAAGUGCAAAUAAUUUGGCGUAAGGCCCAUGGAAGUCAUGCAAGAUGCGCCAUGGAGGUAUGUGCAGUAUUCCUCCUUGCUCCCUCAGCCCCAUGACCCUGCAUUCCCUGCAUUGUGAGCGGUGAGCGCGGGGCUGGGGAGCAGUUGUUGCUGAGUCCCUGAAAAUCCAGAUGGAUUUGCUGUUGCACCUGAAAGGGGCAAAGGGACACAUCUGAGCAGAAAGAUAACACAUGGACGGCUGGCUGCGGGCUGCCCUCCUGCAGCAGGGCUGUUUGCUGGCUGUCUCACAGCCCGGACUGCUGGAAGCUGCAGGUGGAGGGAAGCACUGCGUGCAUAGCAGGAAUGGCUGCAAGAGGUGUGAGAAACCCAAUCGCCUCUGUUUGCUGAAGCUUCUUGUUCACUCCCGUGGGGCUGACAAGCUUCCGGGGAUAAUUAUAUCCUAGCACCUGGGGAGGCUCUCAUCCCACCGGGGGAAAAAAAAAAAAAACAUGGGGAAAACCACUGUGAUGAGCAGGACUGUGCAUCCAGUGAGGACAGAGACGAGUCAGGUCUCUGCUUGCCUUACACUGCAGCAGCUGCAGGGUCAGACAGGCUGACUCCAGCCCCAGGAGCCCCGUGCACUGGGACACGGUGCUCAGCAGGGGCUCAGCACCAGCUCUGCAGCCUGUGCUGGGAUGCUGCUGCCUGCUGAGCCCAGCUGGCUAGUCUGGGUCUUGCAGGAAAGAGAAACCCUUGGUUUGCUGUGGCAAACAUGGUGUCCCUGUGUACUCAGAUUUGAUGCAUUGCUGCCUAUAGUGUAAAAAUGUUGAGUGUGUUUAAACGGACAAUGAGCACCUCUAUGGCAGAUGGAUCGUACAGACAGUGCCACUUCUGACAACCAAACUACCAGCAAAAAAGUGCUUGCGGGUCUUUCUCAGUCACUAGCAGACCUUUCAACCUCCUUACACAUUGCUAUUAAUUCAUUCCUUGCUCCAGUCAUCCAGAAAUGAAGAUGCAGAUCUCACCAGGGUGCUGCUGGUGCAUGGCUUGUUCCUGGGGCAUUUGGAUGCUGUUGAGCUGCCUUAGGUACAUCAUGGAGGGUGGUUGGGGUCGAGGUGGGGGUCUCCAUCUGAGGCAGGAGGAUGAUCAAGGGCUUUUUGUGCAGGAAAAGAGAUGUGGCACGAAGCAUAUAACCCACACCCUCCUUAAUGCUGGGUCCCACCUAACUCUCUUUGAGCUGUUCUCUGGACCUGCAAGUGGACUUCCUUUUGUGAUGUGGCAAACAACAGCAUUUACAGAUUAGAAAUUGCUCAUUCUGCCACUUCACACUCAGUGAUGAGCAGGGCAGAAAGGCAAAGUACUCUGCACGUGAGUCUUGUUGUUUGCUUCAUGUCCAACCACUCCAUCAGUACUUCAGACAAACAGCUUUCCAUUCCUGAGCUGAGAACACCAAUCAUUACCCUGGAAAAUGCUAGAGGGUUUCUUCCAUUCCCCUCCAAGCCUUCUUCUGGCCAGGAUUUUACGAAGUAGCUUUAAAUUUUGCUCGCUGAGGAAGGCACCUGUCCCAGGGUGGUUAUUUUUAGCGGCAGAGCUGACAUCCUAUACGGUAGCCCAUGUUAUGAAAUUUGGCCAGCACCAUCUCACUGUGACUUAUGUUCUGCUUCAGCAUGAUUAACUGUAGUUAAAAAUGAGCUUUGAGGGCAUAUAAACAGGAGAGCAGAAGGGCUGCUUGGAAGCAUAAAUCAGGAAAAUAUUAAAUGGGAAAGCACAUCCAAAUUGGUACUUGUUUGCUCAAAGCUAUUUGAAUUAAGGGAAAUAUCAUCCCUUCUCAAGAAAGAUAGUUCUUAAUUUCCUCAAACAAGACCUAAACCAGCAAAGAUGAGAUGUAACACUGCAUAGCCCAAAGCAUUGCCAACACAGAGAAAGAGCAGAACGCUCUCUGCUCCCUCCUUGGUUUCUUUGGGAUGGAUGAUACAGAGGGCCCUGGCAAUAGGACAGAUGAGCUCAGGAGGGCACCUCAGCAGGGAAGGCACAGCUCGACACCUCUGUCACCUCCCAGCUUCUCCACCUCAGCCUCAAGACAGCAGCAGGAAGAAUUUUCUUUGUUUUGUUUUGAACACAAAGCGGUCUUUUAGUGUCCUUGCUGGUACUGAGAAUUAACUGGAGGGCAACAGAGCCCAUCCCUAACCUGAAAUUGCUGAAAUCUGCAACGUCCUGCUAAGCUGAUGGAGAAAGGGAGCUGCAUUUUUCUUCCCUCAAAUUUCAGUGAAGAUACAGAAGAAAAUUCAGUAGAAUUUAUGACUUCUAAACCCAUUUCUCCCAUAGUCCGUGCCUCCCAGAAAUAGAGCAAGUUCUUCUGUCCUUUGUCUAUGAGGAAGACACCAGUGGGACAUUCAAGACCAUAGGUGUAGUUUUCUCUGGUAACACAUGGAGAUUUCCAUUCCAAAGCAAGAUCUCAUUCAACCAAGUGCUGCACAUCGUGUGCCCAAAUCCACCAUAAUAUUAGGAAAAAUUUAUUCUCAGGCAGAGUGAUGAGAUAUUGGAACGGGAUGCUUAGGGGAGUGGUGGAGUCACUGUCCCUGGAGGUUUUCAAGAAGUAUGGAGAUGUGGCACUGAUGGGCAUAGCUGAGAACAGUCACAAGCAUGGGUUGGUGUUUGGACUGGAUGGUCUUAGUGGUCUUUCCAUCCUUAAUGAUUAUAUGAUUGUAUGGUAACCCAAGUGUCUGGGGGCAAUGUGGACUUGCCUUAAGUGGGUCUAGCCCUAGGAUUUCCUCUUAGAGGUAACAGGCACAACUUUUUGCUUGUCAUGAAACCUUACAUAAUAGCAUUGCAUGCCACGGUGUGACUAGGUUUGCUCAAGGAAGUGGCUGUUAAUUCGUAGAACAAGUUAAUGUUUUCUCUUGAUUGAAGUCUAUGCUAGGAAAAUGGCUCUCUGCAUCUCCCUAACACUACAUCUCACUACAGCACUAAUUCAGCAUUCUUCUAAGUGUGUUGGCAACAUGCAGGUUGAAAGAUGAUACUGCAGUGGGCCUUCCAGUCUUUCACCUGAACACCAUCAUUCACACAUCCCUUUACCACCACCAGGGCUUGGAGUAAUGUUCUCUGUUGAAUGCUCACAUAAUUUUUCAUUAGCCACUUCUGUUGGCUUGGUGUACUUUUUGCACACAUAGCCAAUAUGCAUGAACAGUUUCCAGUAGGUCCAUUAGGAAUUUCUUCCCAAUCUCCCUAGUAAAUGCAAUAGCAGCAUUGUGGGCUCGCGUUUCGUUAACCCCUCCAUAUGCUUAGCAUCUCUCCUCCUCCACUGCCAUCCACUCUCACUUUUGCAAAUCCCGCUGAGCUUCAUUUUCAGAAAGCAGUAGCAGGGGUGUUUUUUUUUCUUUUUGAACGCUGAAAAAAUGGAAAUGCAUAGUUUGAGGGCUUGCUUUAAUUGGGCACUUUCAUGUAAAAUCUGCUAUUGCAUCUUUGUAUAGAACCUGCUUCAAAGAAAACAAGAAAGAAAGCUGGCUUGCUCUGCUUUAGUUCUAAGUUUUUCACUGGCCUUACCCAUCAGUAGAUUAAUUGAAGUGAUGCUAAGUCAGACAUGAACAUAGCCUGUAAUAUUUCAAAAUAUUAAAAACAAAUCAAGCUAUUCCAACAGAGCCACUUGUCAAAAACUGCUCGGAAUGACAGAGUUGGAUUGUUUGGCAGAGUUUAUUUUCCUGUUACAGAUAUGCAGGUGUGGGCUCAUGCACACACAACAUGCAGUCCAGCACGGCUAGAUCUUCUGUACCAGGUUGGCAAACCUGUUUAAGAUAGAGGGAUGCAGGUGGCACCAAGGAAGGUGACAGCAGCUCUAACACCAUAGGGAGGACCAGUCCCCACAGCAGAUGGGUUACUUGUCAAUAAAGGGUGAAGCAGUGACAGGAACUGGUGCAUACUGGAGCAAGUGGGCUGCCCAGGAUGGUGGUGGAGUCGCUGUCCCUGGAGGUGUUCGAGAAAUGUUGAGAUGUGGUACUGAGGUACAUGUGUUAGUGAGCAUGGUGGGGAUGGGUUGGGGUUGGACUUGAUUGUAGAGGUCUUUUUCCAACCUCUAUGAUUCUAUGAUUCUAUUCUAUGAUUCUGAGAAUCCAGCACAUCUAACCAGAGUAGACCACACUCCUCCAGCAGUUGUUAGAUAAGUUUAGAAGAUUCAGAGCUGGGAUCACUUUGCACAAUGCUGUUUCAAACAAAAAGAUGUCCCAGCAUGCAGCACCCUUACCACAGUGACAGCCACACCAAAGCCUGCAUUAAUAGAACCCUUUGGUGUUUGCCUUGAAAACUCUCCAGUGCGUCGAUUUGCAUUGCCUUCUAUUUCAGGGCUGGGGGAGAUGUUUUCCAACUGCUGAGCCUCAGCCUCAUGCAAUAUUAUAUGGUGAAGCUAAAUAUGUGUUUAUUUUAACAACAAUGGCUCUACCUAAGGGGAACCCCUGAUGGACCUAUUCAGCAAGGCUGCUGGCUGUGCAGUAGUGAAGAGCAGAGCAAAGCUGCACUGAUGGGUGAGGGACUGGGGCUGCACCACUUUGUACCAGCAAGGCUGCAUCCUACUUUUCAUCCCAAACCACAUCCUUCUAGCACCAUGCCCAUGAUGUCAAAGCUUUCCAUCAAAUUUGCUCAGGUUCUGAAUUACCAACUCAGCCCUGGGCCCUUCAAAUGGCAGCAGCAUGGCUCAGCCCAUGUGCUUGCAGCUCACUGGGCUUCACUUCCCAUCUUGGGAUUUCAAACUCCUGCACAGCUCAUGGCUUCCCAGCACUUUGAUCGAGUUUGGGCUCCUCUCUUGCCUUCAUUACCUAAUGCAAAGGCUCUACAAGCUUACACUUGAAGCUUGGAGUCAGUCUCACAAGUUACCCCACGUUAUUUUGAACUCAAUCAACCUUUGAGAGGAGUUUUUCAAAUCCUAACCAGAGAGAGGCAAACUUCCAAAAGAAGUGGAGUUUGGAUUUGCUGUGGGGAGACAUCCAAAAAACUUGGGCAUCUCUCCAGCAUUUAUCUAGCCCAAACAAAACGGGUCUCUAACCUGGAAAGUGAGCAACUGAUCCCAAGAUGCCAGCUGGAUUUGGAGCAAGAAUACUCUCCUGGGUGGUAGUCUUGGACCUGUAGUUUUGGCCUAAGUCAGCAGCCGCGAGCCCAAAGGUGAUCAUUUUGUCACCUCAUAAAAAUGUUGGUGUGAGCCAAGGCUCUGAACACAGGCAACAUUUCAUCAUUUCCUCAUUUCCUCGAAUGGAAAAACCAGAAGGACACAUUUGUUCCCCUCAGGCGACCUCCUGAGGGUCAGGGCAGCUCAGAGUCAGCCCUGGGCACCACUACUGCCAGCAGUGUGUGGCUGAGUGGGGAAUGAAUGGCUGAAAGGCUGAAAAAGAGCUUCAUAAAAAGGGCAAGGAUUUGGAUUUCUACAAGGUGGGAAGAGCAAAGUCCCAGAGGCAAGGUGUGGGAGAGCAGCCAAGGGCACAUGGUGGUGACACCACAUAGCUCUGCUUUAAUCUGAUAGAGGGUCCAUAGGGAGGGAGAUAAGCACUUCUUUUCUUUAUUCCUUUGUCCCCCAAAGAAAUCAUUGAUCUAAAUCAUAGCAGAUGGGUACUGGGGAAAUGGUACAAGUCAUAGGCUUGGAAUAACCUGCCCAGGGAAGAUGUGUUGGCUUUUUUUCCAGAGGGCAUUUUAAAGAAAGUCCUUCCAGGAUGGAUGCAACUCUGUCCUACAGCUGGGGCCAUGCCGAGCUGUUUGCUCUCUAGCCCAGCCCCGAAGAGAGGGAACGGAAUGGGGAUGUUUCAUUCUCCUAGAGUCUGAGGCAGGAUCAGAUCACCAUGACCACCUGUGCCUUUAUUUCCCCUGGAUCUCUUCCAUUUUCUUCCUUCCUUUCUUGGAGAGCCUAAGGUUGGGAGCUGGGGCCCCGUGCAUUUACAGAUUAUUUCUUUCAAUACUGGAGUUUAGAUGCUUCUGUUGCUAGAAAGCUGCAGCUUAUUGGUGUCAGCUCACCUUGCCCCCAGCUGAGGACUGCUGUAUGAAGAACACAACCAGCCUGCAGCACCACUGCAACCGGACAGGAUCACAGGCAGUGACAGAAGCGUAAUCUAAGUAAAAACACUGGAUAUGUCUGUUUAUGGAUCUAAUAAAUUAUGUGGGAAUUGCGUGGUUAUAAAUCCAGGCUGUCCAGUAAACCCAACAACUAAUUUGUCAGUCCCUCGUCUAGCAAUCUGAAUCUCUGCUGCAAUUGCUCAGCAUGCAGAUAACAAGGUGCCUUACAAAUCUCUUGGUUAAAUGUCAUUUGUUUCAGUGCCAUAACAUGCUAUGGAUCAUUGCUCACACACAGUAACCCAAUUAUAUUAACCUGUGCAGCAAUACGGUGUAAUGACAUGACAUUAAUGUGAGCACUUCAGAGGUUUCCAACAAUUUGGUCUUUCUUUCAAAGGUGUUUUCUUUCCUCCUUGAGCAUCUUUCUCCUUCUUUCCUCCCUCCCCCCAAUGCUUAGAGGCAAAGUAACGUAUCUCUCCAAACCAAACUAAAAUGGUUGUAAUUUCCCAAAUAACUGAAUCUCUCUCACAGCCUGGAAUGUGCGAUUGAGCCGUGUUACGUGUUGGAAUCUCUCCAAAUCAGAAGUAUUGCUGUUCCUUCGGCUCUGACAUCUCUUCGGCAUUUUUUAUAAGAGCACCUUUUAAAUACAAACCCCUACAUUUUGUCAGUAUUUGUCUUGCAGUAGCAGGGAAAUACACAGGGAAGAAAUUAAAAAACAAAUCUACUUUGAGAUGCAAUCAUUAAUAUUUUCCAGCGACGGAAGGAAAGCUGGCCAAGUGUGCUAGCAAGUGGGCCUGGCUGAUCUGCCUUCUGUUUGCAUUGCUGCCGUAGGCACUGAGUAACCAAAUAGUGACAAGAAGAUCAGCUUGAGAAAAAUCACAUCAUUCAGGCACCUGAAUGGCAUAGAAGUGGUUAAAGAUUUGAAAUAUUGCAGAAUUUUCUCCUUUUUUAUUAUUUUUUUUAUUUUUUUGAGGAAAAGAGAAGGCUGCUGCCCUGCUUCGCUUGCUGUCACAGCAAUAACUUCCCUCAUGCCAUGGGGAGGGUGCACCAGUCAGCAGUGCAGAGCGGGCUGCGGGGCUGAUGGUGGAGGUGAAGGAUUUACAGCUCUGUGUCCUGCUGCAGCCGUUUCCCAUCGUUACAGUGCAUUGGUUGGAUUCUGAUCCUUUGGUGAUGCUCUGCUCCCCAAGUGGUUUGCCAGUGAAGGUGACACAAGAGGAGUAAUGGGCCCACAGCCUGUGCUCAGAAUAUGCUCCUAAGUUUCUGUGUAUUUAUGGCUUUUUUUCAGCUUCUGCAGAGAAGGCAAGUAACCCUAUCUUAAGCGUCAGGCUGAACUUGCUGAUAUCAGCUAAACCGAGCCUCUUCCUUUAGGAAGAGUUUUAGUAAGUAAAGAAAUAAAGAGGCUCAUCUAUGACAAAUCUUACCUGACACAAACAUAUUUUGAUCAGCCCAACACAAUCUAGAACAAGCACAUCUAAAUAUUACGGAGAAAUACGUGGUGAUCAGCUCCAAACACACGGCUGUAAUGUACACUUGCUAAAUUCUUUCCAUUGUGCUGUUAAAUGCAUCCAGCUGUCCAUACGUUAAAGUUAAAUAUACUGUACUAUAAAACUGAACAGAGAGUGGAAACUAUUAAAAUAAACCCAGCUAUUUCCCUGUUCCUCUACCUCUUCCCAAUCGAGUAUAUUUUACUUAGGGAAGGAGGAGAGUUAGAACAACAGUUCCUGGAUGUGGUGCAUGGCAAUGGUAGGGGAGAGGGGAG